GAUGAACGCUGGCGGCGUGCCUAAUACAUGCAAGUCGAGCGAACGGACGAGAAGCUUGCUUCUCUUAUGUUAGCGGCGGACGGGUGAGUAACACGUGGAUAACCUACCUAUAAGACUGGGAUAACUUCGGGAAACCGGAGCUAAUACCGGAUAAUAUUUUGAACCGCAUGGUUCAAAAGUGAAAGACGGUCUUGCUGUCACUUAUAGAUGGAUCCGCGCUGCAUUAGCUAGUUGGUAAGGUAACGGCUUACCAAGGCAACGAUGCAUAGCCGACCUGAGAGGGUGAUCGGCCACACUGGAACUGAGACACGGUCCAGACUCCUACGGGAGGCAGCAGUAGGGAAUCUUCCGCAAUGGGCGAAAGCCUGACGGAGCAACGCCGCGUGAGUGAUGAAGGUCUUCGGAUCGUAAAACUCUGUUAUUAGGGAAGAACAUAUGUGUAAGUAACUGUGCACAUCUUGACGGUACCUAAUCAGAAAGCCACGGCUAACUACGUG
rnacentral:rRNA from 1 species